AUACNUGCAAGUCGAGCGAACAGAUAAGGAGCUUGCUCCUUUGACGUUGGCGGCGGACGGGUGAGUAACACGUGGAUAACCUACCUAUAAGAGAGNGGGAUAACUUCGGGAAACCGGAGCUAAUACCGGAUAACAUAUUGAACCGCAUGGUUCAAUAAUGAAAGGCGGCUUUGCUGUCACUUAUAGAUGGAUCCGCGCCGUAUUAACUAGUUGGUAAGGUAACGGCUUACCAAGGCAACGAUCCGUAGCCGACCUGAGAGGGUGAUCGGCCACACUGGAACUGAGACACGGUCCAGACUCCUACGGGAGGCAGCAGUAGGGAAUCUUCCGCAAUGGGCGAAAGCCUGACGGAGCCACGCCGCGUGAGUGAUGAAGGUCUUCGGAUCGUAAAACUCUGUUAUCAGGGAAGAACAAAUGUGUAAGUAACUGUGCACAUCUUGACGGUACCUGAUCAGAAAGCCACGGCUAAUUCCGUGCCAGCAGCCGCGGUUAUACGUAGGUGGCAAGCGUUAUCCGGAAUUAUUGGGCGUAAAGCGCGCGUAGGCGGUUUUUUAAGUCUGAUGUGAAAGCCCACGGCUCAACCGUGAAGGGUCAUUAGAAACUGGAAAACUUGAGUGC
rnacentral:rRNA from 1 species